rnacentral:rRNA from 1 species
GGGUUGUGAGGUUAAGCGACUAAGCGUACACGGUGGAUGCCCUGGCAGUCAGAGGCGAUGAAGGACGUGCUAAUCUGCGAAAAGCGUCGGUAAGGUGAUAUGAACCGUUAUAACCGGCGAUGUCCGAAUGGGGAAACCCAGUGUGAUUCGUCACACUAUCGUUAACUGAAUACAUAGGUUAACGAGGCGAACCGGGGGAACUGAAACAUCUAAGUACCCCGAGGAAAAGAAAUCAACCGAGAUUCCCCCAGUAGCGGCGAGCGAACGGGGAGCAGCCCAGAGUCUGAAUCAGCUUGUGUGUUAGUGGAACGGUCUGGAAAGUCCGACGGUACAGGGUGAUAGUCCCGUACACCAAAAUGCACAGGUUGUGAACUCGAAGAGUAGGGCGGGACACGUGGUAUCCUGUCUGAAUAUGGGGGGACCAUCCUCCAAGGCUAAAUACUCCUGACUGACCGAUAGUGAACCAGUACCGUGAGGGAAAGGCGAAAAGAACCCCGGCGAGGGGAGUGAAAAAGAACCUGAAACCGUGUACGUACAAGCAGUGGGAGCACCUUCGGGUGUGACUGCGUACCUUUUGUAUAAUGGGUCAGCGACUUAUAUUCUGUAGCAAGGUUAACCGUAUAGGGGAGCCGCAGGGAAACCGAGUCUUAACUGGGCGUUAAGUUGCAGGGUAUAGACCCGAAACCCGGUGAUCUAGCCAUGGGCAGGUUGAAGGUUGGGUAACACUAACUGGAGGACCGAACCGACUAAUGUUGAAAAAUUAGCGGAUGACUUGUGGCUGGGGGUGAAAGGCCAAUCAAACCGGGAGAUAGCUGGUUCUCCCCGAAAGCUAUUUAGGUAGCGCCUCGUGAACUCAUCUUCGGGGGUAGAGCACUGUUUCGGCUAGGGGGUCAUCCCGACUUACCAACCCGAUGCAAACUACGAAUACCGAAGAAUGUUAUCACGGGAGACACACGGCGGGUGCUAACGUCCGUCGUGAAGAGGGAAACAACCCAGACCGCCAGCUAAGGUCCCAAAGUCAUGGUUAAGUGGGAAACGAUGUGGGAAGGCACAGACAGCCAGGAUGUUGGCUUAGAAGCAGCCAUCAUUUAAAGAAAGCGUAAUAGCUCACUGGUCGAGUCGGCCUGCGCGGAAGAUGUAACGGGGCUAAACCAUGCACCGAAGCUGCGGCAGCGACACUAUGUGUUGUUGGGUAGGGGAGCGUUCUGUAAGCCUGCGAAGGUGACCUGUGAGGGUUGCUGGAGGUAUCAGAAGUGCGAAUGCUGACAUAAGUAACGAUAAAGCGGGUGAAAAGCCCGCUCGCCGGAAGACCAAGGGUUCCUGUCCAACGUUAAUCGGGGCAGGGUGAGUCGACCCCUAAGGCGAGGCCGAAAGGCGUAGUCGAUGGGAAACAGGUUAAUAUUCCUGUACUUGGUGUUACUGCGAAGGGGGGACGGAGAAGGCUAUGUUAGCCGGGCGACGGUUGUCCCGGUUUAAGCAUGUAGGCUGGUUGUCCAGGCAAAUCCGGAUAAUCAAGGCUGAGGUGUGAUGACGAGGCACUACGGUGCUGAAGUAACAAAUGCCCUGCUUCCAGGAAAAGCCUCUAAGCAUCAGGUAACAUCAAAUCGUACCCCAAACCGACACAGGUGGUCAGGUAGAGAAUACCAAGGCGCUUGAGAGAACUCGGGUGAAGGAACUAGGCAAAAUGGUGCCGUAACUUCGGGAGAAGGCACGCUGGUGUGUAGGUGAAGUCCCUGCGGAUGGAGCUGAGACCAGUCGAAGAUACCAGCUGGCUGCAACUGUUUAUUAAAAACACAGCACUGUGCAAACACGAAAGUGGACGUAUACGGUGUGACGCCUGCCCGGUGCCGGAAGGUUAAUUGAUGGGGUUAUCCGUAAGGAGAAGCUCUUGAUCGAAGCCCCGGUAAACGGCGGCCGUAACUAUAACGGUCCUAAGGUAGCGAAAUUCCUUGUCGGGUAAGUUCCGACCUGCACGAAUGGCGUAAUGAUGGCCAGGCUGUCUCCACCCGAGACUCAGUGAAAUUGAACUCGCUGUGAAGAUGCAGUGUACCCGCGGCAAGACGGAAAGACCCCGUGAACCUUUACUAUAGCUUGACACUGAACAUUGAGCCUUGAUGUGUAGGAUAGGUGGGAGGCUUUGAAGCGUGGACGCCAGUCUGCGUGGAGCCAACCUUGAAAUACCACCCUUUAAUGUUUGAUGUUCUAACGUUGGCCCCUGACCGGGGUUGCGGACAGUGUCUGGUGGGUAGUUUGACUGGGGCGGUCUCCUCCCAAAGCGUAACGGAGGAGCACGAAGGUUAGCUAAUCCUGGUCGGACAUCAGGAGGUUAGUGCAAUGGCAUAAGCUAGCUUGACUGCGAGCGUGACGGCGCGAGCAGGUGCGAAAGCAGGUCAUAGUGAUCCGGUGGUUCUGAAUGGAAGGGCCAUCGCUCAACGGAUAAAAGGUACUCCGGGGAUAACAGGCUGAUACCGCCCAAGAGUUCAUAUCGACGGCGGUGUUUGGCACCUCGAUGUCGGCUCAUCACAUCCUGGGGCUGAAGUAGGUCCCAAGGGUAUGGCUGUUCGCCAUUUAAAGUGGUACGCGAGCUGGGUUUAGAACGUCGUGAGACAGUUCGGUCCCUAUCUGCCGUGGGCGCUGGAGAAUUGAGGGGGGCUGCUCCUAGUACGAGAGGACCGGAGUGGACGCAUCACUGGUGUUCGGGUUGUCAUGCCAAUGGCACUGCCCGGUAGCUAAAUGCGGAAGAGAUAAGUGCUGAAAGCAUCUAAGCACGAAACUUGCCCCGAGAUGAGUUCUCCCUGAGACUUUAAGUCUCCUGAAGGAACGUU